UACGUAGGGUGCGAGCGUUGUCCGGAAUUAUUGGGCGUAAAGAGCUUGUAGGCGGUUUGUCGCGUCUGCCGUGAAAAUCCGGGGCUCAACCCCGGACUUGCGGUGGGUACGGGCAGACUAGAGUGUGGUAGGGGAGACUGGAAUUCCUGGUGUAGCGGUGAAAUGCGCAGAUAUCAGGAGGAACACCGGUGGCGAAGGCGCCGCUCUGGGCCGAAACUGACGCUGAGGAGCGAAAGCGUGGGGAGCGAACAGG
rnacentral:rRNA from 1 species